rnacentral:rRNA from 1 species
UACGUAGGGUGCGAGCGUUAAUCGGAAUUACUGGGCGUAAAGCGUGCGCAGGCGGUUCGUUAUGUCCGAUGUGAAAGCCCCGAGCUCAACUUGGGAAUGGCAUUGGAAACUGGCGGGCUGGAGUGUGGCAGAGGGGGGUGGAAUUCCGACGUGUAGCAGUGAAAUGCGUAGAGAUGUGGAGGAACACCGAUGGCGAAGGCAGCCCCCUGGGCCAACACUGACACUCAGGCACGAAAGCGUGGGGAGCAAACAGG